rnacentral:rRNA from 1 species
AGAGUUUGAUGGUGGCUCAGGNNGAACGCUAGCGGGAGGCCUAACACAUGCAAGUCGAGGGGUAACGGAAGUAGCUUGCUACUAGACGACGACCGGCGCACGGGUGAGUAACGCGUAUGUAAUCUGCCUUGUACAGAGGGAUAGCCCAGAGAAAUUUGGAUUAAUACCUCAUAGUAUUACCGAAUCGCAUGAUUUGGUAAUUAAAGCUCCGGCGGUACAAGAUGAACAUGCGUGACAUUAGCUAGUUGGUAAGGUAACGGCUUACCAAGGCUACGAUGUCUAGGGGUUCUGAGAGGAUGAUCCCCCACACUGGUACUGAGACACGGACCAGACUCCUACGGGAGGCAGCAGUGAGGAAUAUUGGUCAAUGGACGCAAGUCUGAACCAGCCAUCCCGCGUGAAGGAUGACUGCCCUAUGGGUUGUAAACUUCUUUUAUAUGCAAAUAAACCUACUUUCGUGAAAGUAGCUGAAGGUAGCAUAUGAAUAAACACCGGCUAACUCCGUGCCAGCAGCCGCGGUAAUACGGAGGGUGUAAGCGUUAUCCGGAUUUAUUGGGUUUAAAGGGUACGUAGGCGGUAAUAUAAGUCAGUGGUGAAAUCCUGCAGCUCAACUGUAGAACUGCCAUUGAAACUGUAUUACUUGAGUAUACUUGAGGUAGGCGGAAUGAGUAGUGUAGCGGUGAAAUGCUUAGAUAUUACUCAGAACACCGAUUGCGAAGGCAGCUUACUAAGGUAUAACUGACGCUGAUGUACGAAAGCGUGGGGAGCGAACAGGAUUAGAUACCCUG